GUAAUCCUUGAAGGACCACCAGUGGCGAAGGCGUCUCACCAGAACGGACCUGACGGCAAGGGACGAAAGCUGGGGGAGCAAACCGGAUUAGAUACCCGGGUAGUCCUAGCCGUAAACGAUACUCGCUAGGUGUCGGCCACGGUGCGACCGUUGUCGGUGCCGUAGGGAAGCCGUGAAGCGAGCCACCUGGGAAGUACGGCCGCAAGGCUGAAACUUAAAGGAAUUGGCGGGGGAGCACCACAACGGGUGGAGCUUGCGGUUUAAUUGGAUUCAACGCCGGAAAUCUUACCGGGACCGACAGCAUUAUGAAGGCCAGGCUGAAGACUUUGCCGGAUUAGCUGAGAGGUGGUGCAUGGCCGUCGUCAGUUCGUACUGUGAAGCAUCCUGUUAAGUCAGGUAACGAGCGAGACCC
rnacentral:rRNA from 1 species